GGUGGUUGCACUUUACUGGGUAACAAGGGAUAUAAAAGCAGCAAUUCAAAUUUUCAAAUCAUGUAGUACACAUUCAGUCACCAUGAAGUUCUUGUUGUUCGUUGUUGCCUUGGUUGCAGUUUUAUUCUCUUCAGCACUUGCGCAAGUGCCUUGCGGAGGACUAUUUGCAUGCCAAGUUAGCUGCCCGCUUGUCGGCAAUAAUGCUUUUGGAACGUGUCCUUACGGCCAGAUCUGCUGCCCUCUUGGAGUAGGAAAGUAGGACAACGUGAUGUCAACCAAUCAGUUAUUUAAGGGUACUAUUAUUAUAUAAUCAAUGUUCUCAUAAAAUGACUGUUUGAGUUCAACCGUAUAAAAUAGAAUGGAUUUUCCAAAUAGGUGUAGUUUUUACCUCGUGAUUCGUUUAUUUCCCACAUUUUGCAUUAUUUGCAAGUGACAGAUACAGGAUUUUAUUUCAUUAGAAAAUUAGCGACUGAACAUUAAGUUUUUGGCGAUGGUGCACACAAACUUCAUAUAUUACUGUAAGGCUUCAGUGCAUACAAAUGUAGAUGUAGAUGGGAACAGAUGAUUUUUGAUAUGCGAGCACCAUCACGGGGUAGGAGCAGAAUACGAACUAAACCUAAAGCGCUAAAUAUGAAACCUUUCAUUUGCAAUGAUAUUUACCCGCAACGUUACUAUUCUUUACCAUACGUUAACAUACAACCUAUAGUCCCGAAAUCAAUUUUAGUAAAAAAAUCUGAGCGAUUUCGAGAUUUAGUUCGCAAAGAGCAGGGGUUUCCAAAAUUAUAUUUAUCCAAAAUCGUCAAAUAUAGAAGCCAUUAUUCAUUACACCUUCAAGUUCAUAGUGGCAACAAUGAAACAUUGUUUUUUUUACUUAAGGCGUUGGCGGUCAUGGUUUCCCCAAUACACAAAUCAUAGUAACUACAAUCCCUUGGUUGGAGUCGGUUUUUUACGUGUGUUUUUAUUUUCUCCUGGCACUCCCGAUAAACGACACAAUAUUUUUUUACAUACUCAUAUAUUACACCCUGUAUAACACCUGUUAUGAAAAUGAAAAGAAAUAUUUACACGACUUUACAGUAGGUAUAUACCAUGAACCUUGCAUUUUAAAACAAAUAGUUCUUUUCAAAGCCCCUGCAAGUGCAACAUUUUACAAAGGUACUGUACGUAAGAUAAAACAGGAUUUAUAUAAUCCCCAUAUAUAAACCCCAGUUUUUAGUUAGAACCGAGAAUGGCGUUUACCCCUGAAGACGAUGCGUUCAUAUUAAUGGCGUGGCGCAACACGUUUAGGAGAUGGUACAUGUAGAACGUGUAUUUCAAAACAUGACCCGUCGAGUGCAAAUGUUUCUUGAACAUGAUAGUGGACAUUUUAAACAAUCAUUGUGAGGUUGUAAACUUGUGCUUGAAAAAUUAAUAUUUUUAAUUAAUUGAUUGUUAUUAUUUUUAGUUGUUCAUUAAAUGGGUCUGCCGCUGCUUUUAAAUAAAUGACAUUUGGCGUGUUACCAACUUUAAAUUUUUUUGUUUUGUGGGAAAUUCAAACUGUUCGCACUACUUUUGGAUCACUCGGUAUAAAAUAAUAUAAUCUUGAUUCAAACCGAGGUUUUACAUUUCUAAAGACCUCAGAAGUUAUUCGCUGGCUUUCGGCUGUAAUUCUUUGUCGUAAUUCUCCUAUAUAAAUGUAUAUAAUUGAAUUUCUCCUGGCCCUCUCGAUAAACGGCACAAUAUUUUUUUAUACUCAUAUAUUACACCUUGUAUAACACCUGUUAUGAAAAGUGAAAAGAAAGAUCUACACGACUUUACAGUAUAACAAUGAAUUCAAAAUUUAAAUCCAAAUAUUUUAUUCAAUGCGAGUAUAUUGUAUACCAGUAGCACAGAUAUACGUAAAGAAUCUGUUCUUUACGUAUAUCUGUGUCAGUAUUCUGUUGAAUUAUUAGAUCUCAUUACUAAAUUCUACCAGAUUACUUAGAAUUGCCCAAAUUACGUUUAGAAUUUUCCUUGAGAAUUUCCUUACCACCUUUCUAUAUCGCCAUACCUUAAUUCAAUGCAUCUGUAACCCUUACUUAAAGAGUUUUUUGGAUCUUGCAAUUUCUCACACAAAUCCUGUAAGUGAAUUACGCAUUAUUAUAAUGAAGAGAUCUAAUACAAUUCUUAACAAAGAAUUGCCUACUAAAACUUAUCGCAAGGAAAUGGCAGGCUUUAUAAAAACAUAUUUUUGAUAUGCGAACAAACGCUUGGCCCCAUUUGAAUCUUUACCGCACUUGAUUAAUUUGGCAACAAAUUUGAUUAAUCACAUCACAUGGCUGGGCUUUGCUAGGUAACAAGGCGUAUAAAAGUGGCAUGCCAAAUUUUCAAAUUAGGUAGUACAAAUUCAGUCAUCAUGAAGUUCUUGUUGUUCCUUGUUGCCAUGGUUGCAAUUUUAUUCUCUUCGGCAAUGGCGCAAGGAGCUUGCGGAGGACUAUUUUUUGGAUGCCGAACUACCUGCCCUGUUGGCGGCAAUAAUGCUUUUGGAGUGUGUCCUUUCGGCCAGAUCUGCUGCCCUCUUGGAGUAGGAAAGUAGGACAAAGUGAAGUGAUACCAAUCAGUUACCUAUUUUACGGUCAUAUUAUGUAAUAUAAACUCCGAGACAAUGUUAUCAUCAAAUUACUGAGCUCAACUGAAUAAAAUAGCGUAAAAUAGAUUGGAUUUCCCGAA